AUUGAACGCUGGCGGCAGGCCUAACACAUGCGAGUCGAACGGUAACAGGAAACAGCUUGCUGUUUCGCUGACGAGUGGCGGACGGGUGAGUAAUGUCUGGGAAACUGCCUGAUGGAGGGGGAUAACUACUGGAAACGGUAGCUAAUACCGCAUAACGUCGCAAGACCAAAGAGGGGGACCUUCGGGCCUCUUGCCAUCGGAUGUGCCCAGAUGGGAUUAGCUAGUAGGUGGGGUAACGGCUCACCUAGGCGACGAUCCCUAGCUGGUCUGAGAGGAUGACACGCCACACUGGAACUGAGACACGGUCCAGACUCCUACGGGCGGCCGCAGUGGGGCAUAUUGCACAAUGGGCGCAAGCCUGAUGCAGCCAUGCCGCGUGUAUGAAGAAGGCCUUCGGGUUGUAAAGUACUUUCAGCGGGGAGGAAGGGAGUAAAGUUAAUACCUUUGCUCAUUGACGUUACCCGCAGAAGAAGCACCGGCUAACUCCGUG
rnacentral:rRNA from 1 species